UCCUACGGGAGGCAGCAGUGGGGAAUAUUGCACAAUGGGCGCAAGCCUGAUGCAGCCAUGCCGCGUGUAUGAAGAAGGCCUUCGGGUUGUAAAGUACUUUCAGCGAGGAGGAAGGCAUUAAGGUUAAUAACCUUAGUGAUUGACGUUACUCGCAGAAGAAGCACCGGCUAACUCCGUGCCAGCAGCCGCGGUAAUACGGAGGGUGCAAGCGUUAAUCGGAAUUACUGGGCGUAAAGCGCACGCAGGCGGUCUGUUAAGUCAGAUGUGAAAUCCCCGGGCUCAACCUGGGAACUGCAUUUGAAACUGGCAGGCUUGAGUCUUGUAGAGGGGGGUAGAAUUCCAGGUGUAGCGGUGAAAUGCGUAGAGAUCUGGAGGAAUAACCGGUGGCGAAGGCGGCCCCCUGGACAAAGACUGACGCUCAUAUCGGGAGAGCAGCAGGGAACACAACAAAAUGCAGAUCACCACGUAUUCCACGCUGUAAACGAUGUCCACUUGGAGGUUGUUCCCUUGAGGAGUGGCUUCCGGAGCUAACGCGUUAAGUCGACCGCCUGGGGAGUACGGCCGCGAGGUUAAAACUCAAAGGAAAUUGACGG
rnacentral:rRNA from 1 species